rnacentral:rRNA from 1 species
AGUGAACGCUGGCGGCAGGCCUAAUACAUGCAAGUCGAACGGACGGACAAUAAGCGUGCGCCUUUAACGGUAGCGGCUGGCGGGUGGGUGAGAAGUGCAUAGCCAACUUAUAAUACGGGGAUAACUUCGGAAAGCCACAUACGCUAACACCGAAUAUGUUCUACGGGUGAGUGCAGUAGAUAAAGGCGGUUUGCGUGUUUCAUAGAGAUGAUGUCGCGCUGCAUUGGCUAGUUGGUAAGGUAACGGCACACCAAGGCAACGAUGCGUAGCUGAUCUGAGAGGAUGAUCCGCCACACUGGAACUGAGACACGGUCCAGACUCCUACGGGAGGCAGCAGUGGGGAAUAUUGGACAAUGGGCGCAAGCCUGAGCCAGCCAUACCGCGUGGGUGAAGAAGGCCUUCGGGUUGUAAAGCCCUUUUGUUGGGAAAGAAAAGCAGCAGGUUAAUACCCCGCUGUUCUGACGGUACCCAAAGAAUAAGCACCGGCUAACUUCGUG